GAUGAACGCUGGCGGCGUGCCUAAUACAUGCAAGUCGAGCGAACGGACGAGAAGCUUGCUUCUCUGAUGUUAGCGGCGGACGGGUGAGUAACACGUGGAUAACCUACCUAUAAGACUGGGAUAACUUCGGGAAACCGGAGCUAAUACCGGAUAAUAUUUUGAACCGCAUGGUUCAAAAGUAAAAGACGGUCUUGCUGUCACUUAUAGAUGGAUCCGCGCUGCAUUAGCUAGUUGGUAAGGUAACGGCUUACCAAGGCAACGAUGCAUAGCCGACAUGAGAGGGUGAUCGGCCACACUGGAACUGAGACACGGUCCAGACUCCUACGGGAGGCAGCAGUAGGGAAUCUUCCGCAAUGGGCGAAAGCCUGACGGAGCAACGCCGCGUGAGUGAUGAAGGUCUUCGGAUCGUAAAACUCUGUUAUUAGGGAAGAACAUAUGUGUAAGUAACUGUGCACAUCUUGACGGUACCUAAUCAGAAAGCCACGGCUAACUACGUG
rnacentral:rRNA from 1 species